CCUACGGGUGGCAGCAGUGGGGGAUUUUGCACAAUGCUCGUAAGCGUGACGCAGCGACGCCGCGUGAGUGACGAAGGCCUUCGGGUCGUAAAGUUCUUUCGGCAGGGAAGAAAAUGCCUAUAAGUAACUGUGUAUGUAUUGACGGUACCUGUAUAAGCAGCCCCGGCUAACUCCGUGCCAGCAGCCGAGGUAAUACGGAGGGUGCGAGCGUUAAUCGGAAUUACUGGGCGUAAAGCGCUCGUAGGCGGUAUGUCAAGUCAAGGGUGAAAUCCCCGGGCUCAACGUGGGAACUGCCUUGGAAACUGGCAAACUGGAGUGUGUGAGAGGAUAGUGGAAUUCCAGGUGUAGGAGUGAAAUGCGUAGAUAUCUGGAGGAACAUCAGUGGCGAAGGCGACUAUCUGGCACAUAACUGACGCUGAGGAGCGAAAGCGUGGGUAGCAAACAGGAUUAGAUACCCGAGUAGUC
rnacentral:rRNA from 1 species